UACGUAGGGGGCAAGCGUUGUCCGGAUUUAUUGGGCGUAAAGAGCGUGUAGGCGGCCAGAUAGGUCAGCUGUGAAAACUCGAGGCUCAACCUCGAGAUGUCGGCUGAAACCAUCUGGCUAGAGUCCGGAAGAGGAGAAUGGAAUUCCCGGUGUAGCGGUGAAAUGCGCGGAUAUCGGGAAGAACACCCGUGGCGAAGGCGGUUCUCUGGGCCGAUACUGACGCUGAGGAGCGAAAGCGUGGGGAGCGAACAGG
rnacentral:rRNA from 1 species